UUAGAGAUCCGUGGAGGAUGAAAGGAGCAGGGUGAAGACGCCCUGCGUUCCCCUCGCUUGGUUGGGCAGGGCUUCCAGGAACUGAUGAAGCUGGGGAUUGGGCUCAAAGUAGCUCUUCAUGCCUUUCCAGGGAGGAAGCUGUGGACACACUGCAAAGUCAGGAAGGAACCGUCCCUGGGCCCCCGCCCCAGCGCGGAGACCACCGUGGACCUCCAGGGAUGGAAGGCCGCUCUGGCCCCAAGCGGAGCCUCUCGUUGGUAGACGGGCUCGAGGGAGUCCCUCUGGGCGCGGCGCCGCCGAGCGGCUCGAUGCUCCGACCGGAAGUGCUCUACACCGUCUGCCUCCCACCCGGCUCUCUGGUCCCGGCGGUAAGAUGGCGGCUACCGCGGAGUGCGAUGUGGUAAUGGCGGCGACCGAGCCUGAACUGCUGGAGGACGAAGACGCCAAGAGGGAAGCAGAAUCCUUCAAGGAACAAGGGAAUGCAUAUUAUGCUAAGAAGGACUACAACGAAGCUUAUAACUAUUACACAAAAGCCAUAGAUAUGUGUCCUAACAAUGCCAGCUAUUACGGUAAUCGAGCGGCCACACUGAUGAUGCUUGGACGGUUCCGGGAAGCUCUUGGAGAUGCGCAGCAGUCUGUGAGGUUGGAUGACAGUUUUGUCCGGGGACACCUCCGAGAAGGCAAGUGCCACCUCUCACUUGGGAAUGCAAUGGCGGCAUGUCGUAGUUUCCAAAGAGCCCUAGAACUGGAUCAUAAAAAUGCCCAGGCACAGCAGGAGUUCAAGAACGCCAAUGCCGUCAUGGAGUAUGAGAAAAUAGCAGAAGUGGAUUUUGAAAAGCGAGAUUUCCGGAAGGUUGUUUUCUGCAUGGACCGUGCCCUAGAAUUUGCCCCUGCCUGCCAUCGAUUCAAAAUUCUCAAAGCAGAAUGUUUAGCAAUGCUUGGUCGAUACCCAGAAGCACAGUUUGUGGCCAGUGACAUUUUACGAAUGGAUUCCACCAAUGCUGAUGCUCUGUAUGUCCGGGGUCUUUGCCUUUAUUACGAAGAUUGUAUUGAGAAGGCAGUGCAGUUUUUUGUACAGGCUCUCAGGAUGGCUCCUGACCACGAGAAGGCUUGUGUCGCUUGUAGAAAUGCCAAAGCCCUUAAAGCCAAGAAGGAAGAUGGGAAUAAAGCCUUUAAGGAAGGAAAUUACAAGCUAGCAUAUGAACUGUACACAGAAGCCUUGGGGAUAGAUCCCAACAACAUAAAAACAAAUGCUAAACUCUACUGUAAUCGGGGUACGGUUAAUUCCAAGCUUAGGCAACUGGAAGAUGCCAUAGAAGACUGUACAAAUGCGGUGAAGCUCGAUGACACUUACAUCAAAGCCUACCUGAGAAGAGCUCAGUGGUGGGAUUGUUCCAGUCCUAGACUAUCUUUAUAGACCUCCAGCGGAGGAGAUUGCACACGCUCCCUCAGUCUCCCAUGCCUGUGUCUAACGCCCCUCACGUUACAUGGACACAGAGCAGUUUGAAGAAGCCGUGCGGGACUAUGAAAAAGUGUAUCAGACGGAGAAAACAAAAGAACACAAACAGCUCCUUAAGAAUGCACAGCUGGAACUGAAGAAGAGCAAGAGGAAAGAUUACUACAAGAUCCUGGGAGUGGACAAGAAUGCCUCUGAGGACGAGAUCAAGAAAGCUUACCGGAAACGGGCCUUGAUGCACCAUCCAGAUCGGCACAGUGGGGCCAGUGCCGAAGUUCAGAAGGAGGAGGAGAAGAAGUUUAAGGAAGUGGGAGAGGCCUUUACCAUCCUCUCUGAUCCCAAGAAAAAGACUCGUUAUGACAGUGGACAGGACUUGGAUGAGGAGGGCAUGAAUAUGGGCGAUUUUGAUGCAAACAACAUCUUCAAGGCAUUCUUCGGUGGUCCUGGGGGCUUCAGCUUUGAAGCAUCUGGCCCAGGGAAUUUCUACUUUCAGUUUGGCUAAUGAAGGCCAACUACUUAAAACCCAGAAAAUGCAGACUUGCUUGGUUUAACCAUGAGUGUGGACAGUUCACUUCCUCCAUCAUGUCCCUGUGUACUUAGAGCAGUUUCGUUUUCUCAGUCGGGUGCCCUGUGUCUGUAUGAGGGGUGAAGGAAAGGGGGCCAGUGCUGAGGACUAGGGAGGGAGGGAAGCCAGGGGUAGACAGGGAAGCAGGCAGCUUGUGAAUUUUUGUUGUAUUGUUUAACUUUAUUAAAAAAGAAAAAGAAUAAAAUGUUUUGACCGUU